UACGUAGGGUGCAAGCGUUGUCCGGAAUUAUUGGGCGUAAAGAGCUCGUAGGCGGUCUGUCGCGUCUGACUGUGAAACCUAGGGCUUAACCCUGGGCUUGCAGUGGAUACGGGCAGACGUAGAGGUAGGGUAGGGGAGAAUGGAAUUCCUGGUGUAGCGGUGAAAUGCGCAGAUAUCAGGAGGAACACCGGUGGCGAAGGCGGUUCUCUGGGCCUUACCUGACACUGAGGAGCGAAAGCGUGGGGAGCGAACGGG
rnacentral:rRNA from 1 species